rnacentral:lncRNA from 1 species
CUGGAACUGACCUGUCCGAGCAUAUUUUUUAGUUUUAAAGCCUUAAGAAAGCACGAGGAGCUUCUCUAAACAUCUUGCUCCCUUCUUUAAUUCACCUAAUAUUCUUUAAACCCUAGACUUCUCAAGGACCUGCCAAGAACACCAUGUGCUCUCUUCAACUCCGUUUACCAAGUUAAGAUUUGGCUGCAGCUCGUCAGAAUUGGGAAUUGGUUUUACAACCUCUGAUGUUCCUCUCAACCCUCAGAAUCUACAAUAUUCUGCAUUAGGGCCCUUCCACACUUCAAGGACCAGCUCCGGGACCACCACCCCCAGGAAAGCUUCCAGAAUCUUGUGGCACAUUGUAAAGUCCUCUUCCUGCCUCGGUUUGGAGUGGGUCAGCCUCCUUAGAGUGUGUGUAAGCCUUUCUGGAAUUUUUACUGCAAUAGUAAUGCAUAACGA